rnacentral:rRNA from 1 species
UACGUAGGGGGCUAGCGUUGUCCGGAAUCAUUGGGCGUAAAGCGCGUGUAGGCGGUUCGGUAAGUCUGCUGUGAAAGUCGGGGGCUCAACCCUCGAAUGCCGGUGGAUACUGUCGGACUAGAGUGCGGAAGAGGCGAGUGGAAUUCCUGGUGUAGCGGUGAAAUGCGCAGAUAUCAGGAGGAACACCAAUUGCGAAGGCAGCUCGCUGGGACGUUACUGACGCUGGAGACGGCGAAAGCGUGGGGAGCAAACAGG